GCGUGACUGUUGCAGCAGGUGUCCCUAAUCAACUAUCAACGCAUUUCCAAGCAGAAAACGGAAAGUAGAGAGAAAAACGUCGACGGAAUUUCGCCUAAAACUUCACAACAAAAGCCCUUUCCAACGCGGAGGUUUCAGUGGCCGUCAGACAAGCUCUUCGCUGGCUCCCGGCACCAACCAUCUGGUGGACAGCAGAAACCGGACGACAGGGUGGCUCCUCACUCCACUGAGCCGACACGUAGCCCAAGGACACAGGCGGUGUGUGGAGUAGGCGAGACAGUGUCUGGACCUGACACCUACUGGGAGAUCAGACAGUGAUUUACACUCUGCCAGGACACCUUCAGUCUUCAUUAUGAUGGAGGUACCCAAGGGGACACAGAUGUACAUCUUUACAACAAAAUCCAGAGGCAGCACUCCUACUAUCAGCUUUGACUGAAAACAGAACCAGUGCUCAGCCUGCGGUCU